GACGAACGCUGGCGGCGUGCUUAACACAUGCAAGUCGAACGGAAAGGCCUGCUUUCCCUUGUGGAUUGCGGGUACUCGAGUGGCGAACGGGUGAGUAACACGUGAGUGAUCUGCCCCCAACUUGGGUAUAAGCCUGGGAAACUGGGUCUAAUUCCCGAUAGGACUGCAGGGUGGUGCCUGUGGUGGAAAACGAUUUUCUAGUGGUUGGGGAUGAGCUCGCGGCCUAUCAGCUUGUUGGUGGGGUAAUGGCCUACCAAGGCGGCGACGGGUAGCCGGCCUGGGAGGGUGGACGGCCACAUUGGGACUGAGAUACGGCCCAGACUCCUACGGGAGGCAGCAGUGGGGAAUAUGACACAAUGGGCGGAAGCCUGAUGCAGCGACGCCGCGUGGGGGAUGACGGCCUUCGGGUUGUAAACUCCUUUCGACCGCGAGGAAGCCACCUGGUUGGAAGGGUGGUGACGGUAGUGGUAGAAGAAGCACCGGCUAACUACGUG
rnacentral:rRNA from 1 species